rnacentral:rRNA from 1 species
AUAGGUUAACGAAGCGAACCGGGGGAACUGAAACAUCUAAGUACCCCGAGGAAAAGAAAUCAACCGAGAUUCCCCCAGUAGCGGCGAGCGAACGGGGAGCAGCCCAGAGUCUGAAUCAGCUUGUGUGUUAGUGGAACGGUCUGGAAAGUCCGACGGUACAGGGUGAUAGUCCCGUACACCAAAAUGCACAGGUUGUGAACUCGAAGAGUAGGGCGGGACACGUGGUAUCCUGUCUGAAUAUGGGGGGACCAUCCUCCAAGGCUAAAUACUCCUGACUGACCGAUAGUGAACCAGUACCGUGAGGGAAAGGCGAAAAGAACCCCGGCGAGGGGAGUGAAAAAGAACCUGAAACCGUGUACGUACAAGCAGUGGGAGCACCUUCGGGUGUGACUGCGUACCUUUUGUAUAAUGGGUCAGCGACUUAUAUUCUGUAGCAAGGUUAACCGUAUAGGGGAGCCGCAGGGAAACCGAGUCUUAACUGGGCGUUAAGUUGCAGGGUAUAGACCCGAAACCCGGUGAUCUAGCCAUGGGCAGGUUGAAGGUUGGGUAACACUAACUGGAGGACCGAACCGACUAAUGUUGAAAAAUUAGCGGAUGACUUGUGGCUGGGGGUGAAAGGCCAAUCAAACCGGGAGAUAGCUGGUUCUCCCCGAAAGCUAUUUAGGUAGCGCCUCGUGAACUCAUCUUCGGGGGUAGAGCACUGUUUCGGCUAGGGGGUCAUCCCGACUUACCAACCCGAUGCAAACUACGAAUACCGAAGAAUGUUAUCACGGGAGACACACGGCGGGUGCUAACGUCCGUCGUGAAGAGGGAAACAACCCAGACCGCCAGCUAAGGUCCCAAAGUCAUGGUUAAGUGGGAAACGAUGUGGGAAGGCACAGACAGCCAGGAUGUUGGCUUAGAAGCAGCCAUCAUUUAAAGAAAGCGUAAUAGCUCACUGGUCGAGUCGGCCUGCGCGGAAGAUGUAACGGGGCUAAACCAUGCACCGAAGCUGCGGCAGCGACACUAUGUGUUGUUGGGUAGGGGAGCGUUCUGUAAGCCUGCGAAGGUGUGCUGUGAGGCAUGCUGGAGGUAUCAGAAGUGCGAAUGCUGACAUAAGUAACGAUAAAGCGGGUGAAAAGCCCGCUCGCCGGAAGACCAAGGGUUCCUGUCCAACGUUAAUCGGGGCAGGGUGAGUCGACCCCUAAGGCGAGGCCGAAAGGCGUAGUCGAUGGGAAACAGGUUAAUAUUCCUGUACUUGGUGUUACUGCGAAGGGGGGACGGAGAAGGCUAUGUUAGCCGGGCGACGGUUGUCCCGGUUUAAGCAUGUAGGCUGGUUGUCCAGGCAAAUCCGGAUAAUCAAGGCUGAGGUGUGAUGACGAGGCACUACGGUGCUGAAGUAACAAAUGCCCUGCUUCCAGGAAAAGCCUCUAAGCAUCAGGUAACAUCAAAUCGUACCCCAAACCGACACAGGUGGUCAGGUAGAGAAUACCAAGGCGCUUGAGAGAACUCGGGUGAAGGAACUAGGCAAAAUGGUGCCGUAACUUCGGGAGAAGGCACGCUGGUGUGUAGGUGAAGUCCCUGCGGAUGGAGCUGAGACCAGUCGAAGAUACCAGCUGGCUGCAACUGUUUAUUAAAAACACAGCACUGUGCAAACACGAAAGUGGACGUAUACGGUGUGACGCCUGCCCGGUGCCGGAAGGUUAAUUGAUGGGGUUAUCCGUAAGGAGAAGCUCUUGAUCGAAGCCCCGGUAAACGGCGGCCGUAACUAUAACGGUCCUAAGGUAGCGAAAUUCCUUGUCGGGUAAGUUCCGACCUGCACGAAUGGCGUAAUGAUGGCCAGGCUGUCUCCACCCGAGACUCAGUGAAAUUGAACUCGCUGUGAAGAUGCAGUGUACCCGCGGCAAGACGGAAAGACCCCGUGAACCUUUACUAUAGCUUGACACUGAACAUUGAGCCUUGAUGUGUAGGAUAGGUGGGAGGCUUUGAAGCGUGGACGCCAGUCUGCGUGGAGCCAACCUUGAAAUACCACCCUUUAAUGUUUGAUGUUCUAACGUUGGCCCCUUACCGGGGUUGCGGACAGUGUCUGGUGGGUAGUUUGACUGGGGCGGUCUCCUCCCAAAGCGUAACGGAGGAGCACGAAGGUUAGCUAAUCCUGGUCGGACAUCAGGAGGUUAGUGCAAUGGCAUAAGCUAGCUUGACUGCGAGCGUGACGGCGCGAGCAGGUGCGAAAGCAGGUCAUAGUGAUCCGGUGGUUCUGAAUGGAAGGGCCAUCGCUCAACGGAUAAAAGGUACUCCGGGGAUAACAGGCUGAUACCGCCCAAGAGUUCAUAUCGACGGCGGUGUUUGGCACCUCGAUGUCGGCUCAUCACAUCCUGGGGCUGAAGUAGGUCCCAAGGGUAUGGCUGUUCGCCAUUUAAAGUGGUACGCGAGCUGGGUUUAGAACGUCGUGAGACAGUUCGGUCCCUAUCUGCCGUGGGCGCUGGAGAAUUGAGGGGGGCUGCUCCUAGUACGAGAGGACCGGAGUGGACGCAUCACUGGUGUUCGGGUUGUCAUGCCAAUGGCACUGCCCGGUAGCUAAAUGCGGAAGAGAUAAGUGCUGAAAGCAUCUAAGCACGAAACUUGCCCCGAGAUGAGUUCUCCCUGAGACUUUAAGUCUCCUGAAGGAACGUUAAAGACGAUGACGUUGAUAGGCCGGGUGUGUAAGCGCAGCGAUGCGUUGAGCUAACCGGUACUAAUGAACCGUGAGGCUUAACCUU